CCUUCACUGCCGAUUCCAGUGCUGACACGUAAGGACUCGACGAUGAGGUGGAUCGCUUUGACUUUCUUGUUGUUGUCAUCCUUGAUGGUGGCGACAGAAGCGCGGCUCCCAGUCAAAAUCCUGCCUACUUUUCCUACACGCGGGCCUACUACCACUACAACCCCAUGCAACCUCCCGUUCGCACAGUGUACUCUUGCAACCUUCACCAUAAGGCCCAAUUGACGCGUGUAAGGAGGACUCCGGAAGGCCCUGCGAGUCCUCAGGAUGGUUUUCUUUGUCGUCCACGUCCUCGGACUCUCUUAAGUGUUCAAGUGUUCUUUUUGUUCAAGAUUUUGUACUGUCUGCAUAAAUUAGGUUUUCUCCUUGUCUGUAAAAGUUAUCUGGCGCUCUAUUCGCGUCCUGUAGAAGAUAUUUAGAUUUCCUUAUCGUCAGUGCAAGCUAUCAAGUGUUUUCUUCGUGUAAACAUAACUUAGCAAGGUUCCAUUAGUGCCUCUGCAAAUCAUUGUUGUUUUGUUUGUUUGUUUGUUUACUCUAGUUAUCAGAGCUUCCUUAGUGUCUACGAAUCAUUACUUGAUGCAUUAGUCAUCAAGCAUCCUUUAAUGCGAGACUUAAAGAGGUAUUCAUUUUAUUCGGCUAUCUGUAGUAAUGCUAAAAAUAAAUUGUCAUAAUUGUU